rnacentral:rRNA from 1 species
GGAUGCGAGCGUUAUCCGGCUUUAUUGGGUUUAAAGGGUGCGUAGGCGGUUCGUUAAGUCAGCGGUAAAAUUGCGGGGCUCAACCCCGUCGAGCCGUUGAAACUGGCAGACUUGAGUUGGCGAGAAGUACGCGGAAUGCGCGGUGUAGCGGUGAAAUGCAUAGAUAUCACGCAGAACUCCGAUUGCGAAGGCAGCAUACCGGCGCCCGACUGACGCUGAAGCACGAAAGCGUGGGUAUCGAAC